GACGAACGCUGGCGGCGUGCUUAACACAUGCAAGUCGAGCGGAAAGGCCACUUCGGUGGUACUCGAGCGGCGAACGGGUGAGUAACACGUGAGUAAUCUGCCCCUGGCUUUGGGAUAGCCACCGGAAACGGUGAUUAAUACCGGAUACGACCACUUCUCGCAUAGGAUGGUGGUGGAAAGUUUUUUCGGCCAGGGAUGUGCUCGCGGCCUAUCAGCUUGAUGGUGAGGUAAUGGCUCACCAUGGCUUCGACGGGUAGCCGGCCUGAGAGGGUGACCGGUCACACUGGGACUGAGACACGGCCCAGACUCCUACGGGAGGAAGCAGUGGGGAAUAUUGGACAAUGGGCGGAAGCCUGGUCCAGCAACGCCGCGUGAGGGAUGACGGCCUUCGGGUUGUAAACCUCUUUCAGCAGGGACGAAGCGCAAGUGACGGUACCUGCAGAAGAAGCACCGGCCAACUACGUGCCAGCCGCCGCGGUAA
rnacentral:rRNA from 1 species